rnacentral:lncRNA from 1 species
GCCACCUACAACAUAGAAUGAAGCCCAGCUCUCUAGACUUCCCCAUUUUGUAAAAGAUGAUCCACAAGAAAGAGAUAAAGGUGAGAGUUCCACAAGUGUGAAUUAGAGUACAAACUGAAGACAUCAGCGGGAAGUUUCACAUAGAAGAACUAUGAGGUCGAUCUAUCUGGGCACAUGAAACAUCAGGACUUUGAGAAAUCAGGCAAAAGGGAGGGAAGUUCCUGGGAAGUCAGAUCUGAGUAAAGAAGAAAUAUAUAAAGGACUCUAAGCCCCUCCUUCUCCGAAGAAAGAAGAA